rnacentral:rRNA from 1 species
GACGAACGCUGGCGGCGUGCUUAACACAUGCAAGUCGAACGGAAAGGCCCUGCUUUUGUGGGGUGCUCGAGUGGCGAACGGGUGAGUAACACGUGAGUAACCUGCCCUUGACUUUGGGAUAACUUCAGGAAACUGGGGCUAAUACCGGAUAGGAGCUCCUGCUGCAUGGUGGGGGUUGGAAAGUUUCGGCGGUUGGGGAUGGACUCGCGGCUUAUCAGCUUGUUGGUGGGGUAGUGGCUUACCAAGGCUUUGACGGGUAGCCGGCCUGCGCGGGUGACCGGCCACAUUGGGACUGAGAUACGGCCCAGACUCCUACGGGAGGCAGCGGUGGGGAAUAUUGCACAAUGGGCGGAAGCCUGAUGCAGCAACGCCGCGUGCGGGAUGACGGCCUUCGGGUUGUAAACCGCUUUCGCCUGUGACGAAGCGUGAGUGACGGUAAUGGGUAAAGAAGCACCGGCUAACUACGUG